rnacentral:rRNA from 1 species
CAGCAGCCGCCACGGUAAUACAGAGGGUGCGAGCGUUAAUCGGAUUUACUGGGCGUAAAGCGUGCGUAGGCGGCUUCUUAAGUCGGAUGUGAAAUCCCUGAGCUUAACUUAGGAAUUGCAUUCGAUACUGGGAAGCUAGAGUAUGGGAGAGGAUGGUAGAAUUCCAGGUGUAGCGGUGAAAUGCGUAGAGAUCUGGAGGAAUACCGAUGGCGAAGGCAGCCAUCUGGCCUAAUACUGACGCUGAGGUACGAAAGCAUGGGGAGCAAACAGGAUUAGAUACCCCAGUAGUCCCUGUCUCUUAUAA